UACGUAGGGUGCGAGCGUUAAUCGGAAUUACUGGGCGUAAAGUGUGCGCAGGUGGCCGCGCAAGUCGAGUGUGAAAUCCCCGAGCUUAACCUGGGAACUGCGCUUGUAACUGGCAAGCUAGAGUGUGGCAGAGGGGGGUGGAAUUCCACGUGUAGCAGUGAAAUGCGUAGAGAUGUGGAGGAACACCGAUGGCGAAGGCAGCCCCCUGGGCUAACACUGACGCUCAUGCACGAAAGCGUGGGGAGCAAACAGG
rnacentral:rRNA from 1 species